AAGAGAUUAAAUAAAUGAUUUUUUUUUUCUUUAGGAUGGAACGUUUUUAACGUAUCCAUGGGCUGGGGAAAUCAGGCAUCAGCACCGGGACUGAGUAAGCUGGAGCAGAUCCUAUCACUGGGUUUCCAGAACAAGUUCUACAACGCCAGUGCUAUAGCUCCGGAUUCAGCAUCAGCAGGCGGGCAGAAUGAGUACAGGAUCAAUGUGUCCAGUGAUACGCCGCACUGGUAUGUCAUGGACUACAUGACCCGAGUCAGUCAGUACUACGGCAUCCGUUCAGCCUCUGUGGAUGACCUUGAUGAAUGUACAACAAAAGAGGCUCCGUGUUCAAAAUCAGCCCAGUGUGUCAACACCUACGGGGGCUACAGGUGUGUGUGCAAUGGCACUGAUCUAAAGGAGGAAUCACAGUCGUGCAUUUUUGGUAAGAGCAUCACCAGAAAACAGUGUUCAGGCUCUGUGUGA
rnacentral:lncRNA from 1 species